rnacentral:rRNA from 1 species
UACGGAGGGUGCAAGCGUUGUCCGGAAUCACUGGGCGUAAAGGGCGCGUAGGCGGCUCAUGAAGGCUGUGGUGAAAGUCCGGGGCUCAACCUCGGAUCGGCCGUGGCGACUCGUGGGCUGGAGCACUGUAGAGGCGGGUGGAAUUCCGGGUGUAGCGGUGGAAUGCGUAGAGAUCCGGAGGAACACCAGUGGCGAAAGCGGCCACCUGGACUGCACCUGACGCUGAAACGCGAAAGCUAGGGGAGCGAACGGG